GCUUGCUUUGGCAAUACAUAACAGUAAAACUGAAUCAAUACAGAGAAGAUUAGCAUGGCCUUGUGUGAGGAUGACUUGCAAUUUCAUGAAGCAUUCCACAUUUUU